rnacentral:rRNA from 1 species
GAUGAACGCUGGCGGCGUGCCUAAUACAUGCCAGUCGAGCGAACAGACGAGGAGCUUGCUCCUCUGACGUUAGCGGCGGACGGGUGAGUAACACGUGGAUAACCUACCUAUAAGACUGGGAUAACUUCGGGAAACCGGAGCUAAUACCGGAUAAUAUAUUGAACCGCAUGGUUCAAUAGUGAAAGACGGUUUUGCUGUCACUUAUAUAUGGAUCCGCGCCGCUUUAGCUAGUUGGUAAGGUAACGGCUUACCAAGGCAACGAUGCGUAGCCGACCUGAGAGGGUGAUCGGCCACACUGGAACUGAGACACGGUCCAGACUCCUACGGGAGGCAGCAGUAGGGAAUCUUCCGCAAUGGGCGAAAGCCUGACGGAGCAACGCCGCGUGAGUGAUGAAGGUCUUCGGAUCGUAAAACUCUGUUAUUAGGGAAGAACAAAUGUGUAAGUAACUAUGCACGUCUUGACGGUACCUAAUCAGAAAGCCACGGCUAACUACGUG